rnacentral:miRNA from 13 species
GUACGGGAGGUUGCGAGGUUCG